rnacentral:rRNA from 1 species
GGUAUAGACCCGAAACCCGGUGAUCUAGCCAUGGGCAGGUUGAAGGUUGGGUAACACUAACUGGAGGACCGAACCGACUAAUGUUGAAAAAUUAGCGGAUGACUUGUGGCUGGGGGUGAAAGGCCAAUCAAACCGGGAGAUAGCUGGUUCUCCCCGAAAGCUAUUUAGGUAGCGCCUCGUGAAUUCAUCUUCGGGGGGUAGAGCACUGUUUCGGCUAGGGGGUCAUCCCGACUUACCAACCGAUGCAAACUACGAAUACCGAAGAAUGUUAUCACGGGAGACACACGGCGGGUGCUAACGUCCGUCGUGAAGAGGGAAACAACCCAGACCGCCAGCUAAGGUCCCAAAGUCAUGGUUAAGUGGGAAACGAUGUGGGAAGGCACAGACAGCCAGGAUGUUGGCUUAGAAGCAGCCAUCAUUAAAGAAAGCGUAAUAGCUCACUGGUCGAGUCGGCCUGCGCGGAAGAUGUAACGGGGCUAAACCAUGCACCG